rnacentral:rRNA from 1 species
UACGAAGGGGGCUAGCGUUGCUCGGAAUCACUGGGCGUAAAGGGUGCGUAGGCGGGUCUUUAAGUCAGAGGUGAAAUCCUGGAGCUCAACUCCAGAACUGCCUUUGAUACUGAGGAUCUUGAGUUCGGGAGAGGUGAGUGGAACUGCGAGUGUAGAGGUGAAAUUCGUAGAUAUUCGCAAGAACACCAGUGGCGAAGGCGGCUCACUGGCUCGUAUUGACGCUGAGGUGCGAAAGCGUGGGGAGCAAACAGG